rnacentral:rRNA from 1 species
ACGGUCCUCCUUUAGGGGAGGAUAGUGGCGGACGGGUGAGUAACACGUAGAUGACCUGCCCUUGUGUGGGGAAUAACUACUCGAAAGAGUGGCUAAUACCGCAUACGUUCUCUUUCGUCGGAGAGAGAAGAAACCUGGGAUCGUAAGACCUGGGGCACGAGGAGGGGUCUGCGGCGGAUUAGCUAGUUGGUGAGGUAACGGCUCACCAAGGCGACGAUCCGUAGCUGGUCUGAGAGGACGAACAGCCACACUGGGACUGAGACACGGCCCAGACUCCUACGGGAGGCAGCAGUGGGGAAUAUUGCGCUAAUGCGGGAAACCGUGACGCAGCGACGCCGCGUGAGGGAAGAAGGCCUUCGGG